rnacentral:rRNA from 1 species
GUAGGGGCCAAGCGUUAUCCGGAUUUAUUGGGGCGUAAAGAGCUCGUAGGCGGCUUGGCAAGUCGGUCGUGAAAGUCCGAGGCUCAACCUCGGGAAUGCCGGCGAAACUGCCAUGGCUAGGGUUCGGUAGAGGAGAGUGGAAUUCUCGGUGUAGCGGUGAAAUGCGCAGAUAUCGAGAGGAACACCAGUAGCGAAGGCGGCUCUCUGGGCCGAUACCGACGCUGAGGAGCGAAAGCGUGGGGAGCAAACAGGAUUAGAUACCCUGGUAGUCCACGCCGUAAACGGUGAUCACUAGGUGUGGCGGACUCAUUGACGUCUGCUGUGCCGGCGCUAACGCAUUAAGUGAUCCGCCUGGGGAGUACGGCCGCAAGGCUA